UCUCCGUAGGUGAACCUGCGGAAGGAUCAUUGUCGAAACCUGCCCAGCAGAACGACCCGCGAACUUGUAUAAACAACUGGGGGCGGGGGGCGUUCUCGCCCCGUGCCCCCGAACGGCGGGGAGACACUCGUGCCUUCUUGCCGAACAACGAACCCCGGCGCGGUCUGCGCCAAGGAACUUCAACUAUAGAGUGCCUCCGGUCGCCUCGGAAACGGCGUGCGUGCCGGAGGCGAAUCUUGUGCAAAACCAUAACGACUCUCGGCAACGGAUAUCUCGGCUCUC
rnacentral:misc_RNA from 1 species